CCUACGGGAGGCAGCAGUGAGGAAUAUUGGUCAAUGGGCGCGAGCCUGAACCAGCCAAGCCGCGUGAGGGAUGAAGGUUCUAUGGAUCGUAAACCUCUUUUAUGAGGGAAUAAAGUGUGGGACGUGUCCUAUUUUGUAUGUACCUUAUGAAUAAGGAUCGGCUAACUCCGUGCCAUCAGACGCGGUAAUACGGUGGAUCCGAGCGUUGUCCGGAUUUAUUGGGUUUAAAGGGUGCGUAGGCGGCCUUUUAAGUCAGCGGUGAAAGUCUGUGGCUCAACCAGAGAAUGGCCGUUGAAACUGGGGGGCUUGAGUAUGUGUGAGGCAGGCGGAAUGCGUGGUGUAGCGGUGAAAUGCUUAGAUAUCACGCAGAACACCGAUUGCGAAGGCAGCCUGCCAAGCCAUGACUGACGCUGAUGCACGAAAGCGUGGGGAUCAAACAGGAUUAGAUACCCGUGUAGUC
rnacentral:rRNA from 1 species